GUUAAUAAAAAUAAGUUUCGAAACACUCUGUAUUAUCGAAACAUUAGCAUUUGGAAUGUGGAUUGCAUAGGUCAUGUUAGAGAUUUCAGAUAAGUCAUUAUCAUUACUCCAUUUCCUCAGCAUAAACAAAUUUAAUUUUGUACAUCGGUUUGAAGUUACACGAAAAAUGUGCACAUCUGAAAGUUCAUCUCUUACGGAUGAACAGAAAUUAUUCUACGAGAAGAAUGGAUAUAUUUUAAUUAAAAAUAACUUGAAUCCAGAAUUUUUGGACGAACUACGGCAAAGAUUUGAAGAUUUAUGUGAAGGAACUGCCCAAAACCACGGAGUUAGUAUAGUCAAAGAUCCCGUAUUGAAAAAGAGGGGAAUUUCGGGACAAUAUGCCGUGAAUAAGUUUCAAGAUAUUUUUGACGACGAGGUAUUAGGGAAAUAUGGAACAUGCAAAGAAAUCGUGGACGUUGUGGAACAGUUGAUAGGCCCAAACAUAACCGGGAUAUAUUCCAUGCUGUUCAACAAACCUCCAGAAUCUGAUCCUGAUAUUUCAAGGCACCCUUUGCACCAAGACCUUCACUAUUUUCCCUUUCGCCCUGCAAACAAAAUUGUUACCGCUUGGACUGCCAUGGAAAGAGUUGAGGAGAAAAACGGAUGCUUGCAUGUCAUUCCAGGGUCACACAACGGUCCACUGUACAAUCACGAGUAUCCAGAGGGAAACAAACAUAAACUCUACCAUGAAGUGACGGGAAUGAACCACCUUCCGAAGCUGCAUGUUAUUAUGGAGAAGGGAGAUACGAUUUUUUUUCACUCUUUACUAUUGCAUGGUUCUGGCCCCAACUUUACUAAGGGCUUUAGAAAGGCAAUAUCAUGUCAUUAUGCUGAUUCAAACUGUACCUUUAUGGAUAUUAACAGUAUAAAUUAUGGGAGAAUGGCCAAGGAAAUCGAAGACAUGGAAGAAACGAAAACAGGUGUGCCACUAAAUAUUCAGAGAAACGAAAGGACAAUUAAUUCAAACUCAAAGUUGUGUAGAGGAAUCGGUUCCAAAUAAACCUGAUACUACAGAGAGUACAGUCAGUAUGGAGUCAACAUUUCUUGAUGUUCCAUCGACAUCAACCGAUAUAAAUUAUUUCAAAGCCAGAAGCAGAUUAAUCAGAGGAAGUCCAGGAGCACUUCAACAAUUUUACUCUAAUCUUUAAAUGGG